ensembl:snoRNA LOC120101339 small nucleolar RNA SNORA17
UCUGGCUCUAGAGGCUUGGAGGUGUGGUUGCUGUGGCACCUGUGUACCAGCCAGUAGGUUGCAGAGAGGGGAAUUAUUAUGCCUCUGCUCUGUGUUGUGACCUAUGAAUAUCUGAAUGAUUAGUAGCAUAUCAUU